rnacentral:rRNA from 1 species
AGAGUUUGAUCCUGGCUCAGAGUGAACGCUGGCGGCGUGCCUAAUACAUGCAAGUCGAACGGAGAACUUGAGUAGUAAUACGAGAGUUUCUCAGUGGCGAACGGGUGAGUAACGCGUUGGUGACCUGCCCCGAAGUCUGGAAUAACAGUUCGAAAGGACUGCUAAUACCGGAUGUGGUCAUCGGAUUUAGAAACCGAUGUCUAAAGGAUUUAUUCGCUUCGGGAGGGGCCUGCGUCCCAUCAGCUAGUUGGUAAGGUAACGGCUUACCAAGGCGACGACGGGUAGGGGAACCUGAGAGGGUGGCCCCCCACAAUGGAACUGAAACACGGUCCAUACACCUACGGGUGGCAGCAGUAGGGAAUAUUGCACAAUGGGCGAAAGCCUGAUGCAGCAAUGCCGCGUGUGUGAAGAAGGCCUGCGGGUUGUAAAGCACUUUCAGCGGGGAAGAAAAGCGGAUGGUCAACACCCAUCCGUUCUUGACGUUACUCGCAGAAGAAGCACCGGCUAACUCCGUGCCAGCAGCCGCGGUAAUACGGAGGGUGCGAGCGUUAAUCGGAAUUACUGGGCGUAAAGCGCGCGUAGGCGGCGCGAUCAGUCUGCCGUGAAAUCCCCGGGCUCAACCUGGGAAUGGCGGUGGAUACUGUCGAGCUAGAGUGUGAGAGAGGGGGGUGGAAUUCCAGGUGUAGCGGUGAAAUGCGUAGAGAUCUGGAGGAACACCAGUGGCGAAGGCGGCCCCCUGGUUCAACACUGACGCUGAGGUGCGAAAGCGUGGGUAGCAAACAGGAUUAGAUACCCUGGUAGUC